UCCCACUGAGAGAGACCAAACUAUCAACAACUGCUGCAGGAUUCUCUGGCAUCUGCACUUUGGCUGGAGUUGGCUACAACCAUCCUUGGAGGAUGAGGAGAAGGAAGGAAGAGAGGGAAAGCGCAUAAGACUGGGCCACCUGUCCACCUUCUCCAACCCUCACCAUUGCUCGAGGCUCUCUUAAUCCAUUUAUGAGGAGGACAUCCUGCAGAAAGAGUCUCCACCCUGCCCAACACUCCAUAGUCCAGCUCACUGCAAGCCAGAAGAGACGGGGAGGAAGACGCAGGAAAGUUCCACUUCCAGAUCUUCAUAUGGCUGGCUCUUCCCUGACUCCAUCUCCUAAGUGGGAUCUUUCUUGACCACUCAACCUAAACCAGGCACUCACCGUUACCUCUCCUUAUUUUAUUUUCUUCAUAGAACUUGCCAGCAUUUGAAGCUGUCUUGUUAGUCUGCUUGGGUACUUACAUACCACCCAUCCGCCCCAUC
rnacentral:lncRNA from 1 species